rnacentral:rRNA from 1 species
UGUUGCCUACGGGACGCAGCAGUGAGGAAUAUUGGUCAAUGGGCGCGAGCCUGAACCAGCCAAGUCGCGUGAGGGAUGACGGCCCUACGAGUUGUAACCCUCUUUUGUCGGGGAGCAAAUUCCGUUACGUGUAACGGAGUCGAGAGUACCCGAAGAAAAAGCAUCGGCUAACUCCGUGCCAGCAGCCGCGGUAAUACGGAGGAUGCGAGCGUUAUCCGGAUUUAUUGGGUUUAAAGUGUGCGUAGGCGGACUGUCAAGUCAGCGGUAAAAUACGGGGGCUCAACCUCCGCACGCCGUUGAAACUG